CCGCCGCCGCGUCUUUGCCGUCGCCGUCGAACCUCCUCUCCCAAAACCAACUACGCCAUCCACUCCGCAGCUUCUUUUCGCGUCGUUUGCCCCUGGCCGCAACUCCUUUCACCGUCGAAAUCGCCCGCGCGAGCCCGUCUUUUCCCCGGCCGGCCGCGCCGCCGCCGAAGCUCCGUCGCCCUCGCUUUUUCGCUCCGGUGAGCCGUUGGUCGUUUUUCGACGCGUUAUCACCUUGCCUUCAUGACUUGAUCACGUUUGGCUUGAUCCUUUUCCCAGCCGACGUCCAGACGGGCGAGAAUGCCUCGCCGCCGACGAGCCUUAGCUGCCACCGCCGCCGUCUCCGACUAGAACCCACCUCCGGCUCAUCUCCGCCACCGCUGACCUUCGUCCUUUAACCGCGUGCACGAGCGAGAUCCAAAUACUAUCGAUCAAGUAUUUGAAGAAGGGUAUUCUGAAGAGGCCGGUUCUUAUAAUUGUGAUCCGUUUUCGGUAUCAGAAUAUAUUGAAGAACAAGGCUGGAUUUAUUAUUUAGUGCUACAAUCAAAAUCUUGAAGAUUUGUAGACAUACAAUUUGAAAAUCCACUAAGGAAGAAUUAUAAGUAUUUGAACUUGUACAAGUUUGAUACACGAUCUAGAAGAUAUUGAAUAUUAACUUAUUUACCCUCAUCCUCUGAAAUGAUUCAUUAUCCUGUAGUACAAAAUUUAUUUGUUUUGCACAACUAAUAAGUGGUCAUUAUGCAUG